CCUACGGGGGGCUGCAGUAGGGAAUAUUGCUCAAUGGGGGAAACCCUGAAGCAGCAACGCCGCGUGGAGGAUGAAGGUUUUCGGAUUGUAAACUCCUUUUGUUAGAGAAGAUAAUGACGGUAUCUAACGAAUAAGCACCGGCUAACUCCGUGCCAGCAGCCGCGGUAAUACGGAGGGUGCAAGCGUUAAUCGGAAUCACUGGGCGUAAAGAGCGCGGAGGCGGGAUCGCAAGUCAGAUGUGAAAUCCUAUGGCUUAACCAUAGAACUGCAUUUGAAACUGUUAUUCGAGAGUAUGGGAGAGGAAAGUGGAAUUCCUGGUGUAGGGGUAAAAUCCGUAGAGAUCAAGAGGAAUACUCAUUGCGAAGGCGACCGGCUAGCACAUAACUGACGCUGAUGAGCGAAAGCGUGGGGAGCAAACAGGAUUAGAUACCCUUGUAGUC
rnacentral:rRNA from 1 species